ACAGACAUGAGAGGGGAGAAUAUCAUGGCAUGACAAGGAUAGUCACUGCUGCAAGCGCAAGCCAAAGAAAGCCACGGAUUGCUGGCAAACCCCCCGGAAUGGGGAGAAGGGAGGGCAAGUGCCGCCCACAGAGGAUGCAGGUGGAGCACAGCCCGGUGGUCCUUUAGAUCCAGCCCCAGAGCUCCAGAACUGGGCUUAAAGUUGGAAAUCACUUCAAAUAUGCCUUUAGUUGAAGUUCAGCUAAGACGGCAAAGCACGGUGGUAUUUCUGAGUCCAUGAUGUUGACUGUCUCCUUAUGGGUGGGUGGAAACUCUCCUUUUACUCUCUGCCCCUUUACCCUCAUCGGUCUGCCUGUGGCCGUCCUCAGUUCUCCUCCACGGACUACAGCACACGAGACAGAGUGCAGAUGUUCCCAUUUUACAGUAGCCGAUACUGAGUUUCAAGCCAAACCAAGUGCCAACACUUACUGAUUCCAUAAUCUGUGACAUCCAGAAAGGAAGGACAGGAUGGAUUCUGGGUCUUUUGUAUUCUGCGUUCCAUAGCAUUCUCCUCCUGUGUAAUAAGAUAACAAGUAGAAUAUCUUGUUUCAUUCAUCUUGGGAAUUCUCAGAAGGAAAACUACUUGUGCCCAUUUGGUUUGUCUAAA